CUUAAUAAAGUUUGAACAGGUGCCUGAAAGCUGUCGCUUAUCGGGUUAAAAGGGAAGCUGGUGCAAAUCCGGCGCGGUCCCGCCACUGUAAAGGAGAAAUCACCAAUCGGGUACAAACUCUCAAGUCAGGAAACCUGCCUGUUCACUGCAAAGACU
rnacentral:ncRNA from 2 species